GGUUAAGUGACUAAGCGUAUAUGGUGGAUGCCUUGGCAGUCAGAGGCGAUGAAGGACGUAGUAACUUGCGAAAAGCGUUGGCGA
rnacentral:rRNA from 1 species